UAGAGUUUGAUCAUGGCUCAGAUUGAACGCUGGCGGCAGGCCUAACACAUGCAAGUCGAGCGGUAGCACAAGAGAGCUUGCUCCCUGGGUGACGAGCGGCGGACGGGUGAGUAAUGUCUGGGAAACUGCCUGAUGGCGGGGGAUAACUAGUGGAAACGGUAGCUAAUACCGCAUAACGUCGCAAGACCAAAGUGGGGGACCUUCGGGCCUCACGCCAUCAGAUGUGCCCAGGUGGGAUUAGCUGGUAGGUGGGGUAACGGCUCACCUAGGCGACGAUCCCUAGCUGGUCUGAGAGGAUGACCAGCCACACUGGAACUGAGACACGGUCCAGACUCCUACGGGAGGCAGCAGUGGGGAAUAUUGCACAAUGGGCGCAAGCCUGAUGCAGCCAUGCCGCGUGUGUGAAGAAGGCCUUCGGGUUGUAAAGCACUUUCAGCGAGGAGGAAGGGUAAUGUGUUAAUAAGACAUUGC
rnacentral:rRNA from 1 species